CCUAGUCCUUGCUUUUCUUGAAAGCCUUAAUAAUAUAAAACAGAAGGGAGUCCUCACUUGAAGGUGAGUUUUUUUAGGUGUUCCUUUCUUGGCAUUUUCAUAUUACAAGACCAUGGGUCUGUUUAGACUAUGCAGUCACAGUGCUAGAUUAUCUAAUGUUUUGAGGUUUCGAUCUGGUUCAGCACCACUUUACAGGUCUACUAGUUAUACUAGUGUUUAUGCUGGUCCUAAAAACCCACUGAACCAUUUUGUUGGCACAAGGCAUUACUCUGUUCCCAGAAUUCUUGAUUCUAUAUUCUGGCCUAUGAAAAAGUGUUUAAGUUGUGUCACUUGUUUUACGGGGAGAUUUGAAACUGUGCCUUACAAAUCAAAGGGUAUAUUAUUUUCCCUAUAUUGAAGUAUCCUGGGGAUGGAUAUUUCAUAAUACGUUGUUUAAGAAGCUAAAUAGAUUACAUCUGUUCUAUCCCCAGAGUCACCCGCAGUGUGUUCAAGUGGAAGCAAUUGCUAUAAGGAUCCUCGAGGCGUUACAGAGGGAGAGUGGUAGGCGCCACAAGUUGGCUGAUCGGGAAUGGAUUUUAAAGUUUGAUGGGACGAUAAAGGUUGUUAAGAAGAGGAGAGAACAAAAUGUCAAGUCGACAAAUGGUCGUUUGAAGGACGGAAUAGAUUGGGAAUUUUUUGUAGUGGACACUCCUAUUUCUGGUGUUUCACACAUGUGUGAAGGAAACAUUUUCGUGUUUAGAGGUUCGUUUGAUGUUUACAAGACGAAUGAUGAGCUAGCAAUUAAGAUUGCAACUCAGGUUGGACAUAUUGUUGCUCGACAUCCACAAAGAGAAAUGUGGGAGGAGCCAUGCCUUCUAUAUCAUCGCCUCAUAAAUCGCGAUAACCCCCCAAAAACAUUAUCUAUUGAGCCAUGAGCUUGAAGCAGAUUACAUAGGGAUGUUAUUAUCUGCAUCUGCUGGUUAUGAUCCUUGAGUUGCACCUGUGGCUUUGCAAAAGAUGGAUAGUGGGCAUCACCUAUUUCAUUUCAUGGAGGAAAGAAUAAAGCAUAUGACUCAACCAGAAGUGAUGCAGAAAGCAGUCGACAUAUAUGAAGAACGAAGGAAGGGACGGGCUAUCAUCUGAGAAUUUCUUUUAUAGUUGGAGAACAAGGUGUUUUUAUUCGUAUACCUUUCUGCUGCAAACAAGUUCAAUAUAUUGCCAUCAGAUUCUACUAUUAUCAAUGUAAUGACACUACAGUGGUGAUUUUUGUUAUCUUCUUCUUGUUGUCUUCAGCAAUCAGAAUCUGCUUGUGGUUCUUAAUUUGAUAUUCCAAUGACAAACAAAGAUGUUUGCGUUUAUA